rnacentral:rRNA from 1 species
GACGAACGCUGGCGGCGUGCUUAACACAUGCAAGUCGAACGAAGUGGCGGACUGGUGAGUAACGCGUAAUCAACCUGCCCUUCAGCGGGGGACAACCGUUGGAAACGACUGCUAAUACCGCAUACUGAAGGAGGGGCUUGCGUCUGAUUAGCUAGUUGGAGGGGUACCGGCCAACCAAGGCGAUGAUCAGUAGCCGGUCUGAGAGGAUGAACGGCCACAUUGGGACGGAGACACGACCCAGACUCCUACGGGAGGCAGCAGUGGGGAAUCUUCCGCAAUGGACGAAAGUCUGACGGAGCAACGCCGCGUGAGUGAUGACGGCCUUCGGGUUGGAAAGCUCUGUUAAUCGGGACGCGGUACCGGAAUAGAAAGCCACGGCUAACUACGUGCCAGCCGCCGCGGUAAUAC